rnacentral:rRNA from 1 species
UGACGAGUGGCGGACGGGUGAGUAAUGCUUGGGAACUUGCCUUUGCGAGGGGGAUAACAGUUGGAAACGACUGCUAAUACCGCAUAAUGUCUUCGGACCAAACGGGGCUUCGGCUCCGGCGCAAAGAGAGGCCCAAGUGAGAUUAGCUAGUUGGUAAGGUAACGGCUUACCAAGGCGACGAUCUCUAGCUGUUCUGAGAGGAAGAUCAGCCACACUGGGACUGAGACACGGCCCAGACUCCUACGGGAGGCAGCAGUGGGGAAUAUUGCACAAUGGGGGAAACCCUGAUGCAGCCAUGCCGCGUGGGUGAAGAAGGCCUUCGGGUUGUAAAGCACUUUCAGUUGUGAGGAAAAGUUAGUAGUUAAUACCUGCUAGCCGUGACGUUAACAACAGAAGAAGCACCGGCUAACUCCGUGCCAGCAGCCGCGGUAAUACGGAGGGUGCGAGCGUUAAUCGGAAUUACUGGGCGUAAAGCGCACGCAGGCGGUUUGUUAAGCUAGAUGUGAAAGCCCCGGGCUCAACCUGGGAUGGUCAUUUAGAACUGGCAGACUANAGUCUUGGAGAGGGGAGUGGAAUUCCAGGUGUAGCGGUGAAAUGCGUAGAUAUCUGGAGGAACAUCAGUGGCGAAGGCGACUCCCUGGCCAAAGACUGACGCUCAUGUGCGAAAGUGUGGGUAGCGAACAGGAUUAGAUACCCUGGUAGUCCACACCGUAAACGCUGUCUACUAGCUGUGUGUGUCUUUAAGACGUGCGUAGCGAAGCUAACGCGCUAAGUAGACCGCCUGGGGAGUAC